rnacentral:lncRNA from 1 species
UAACCUCAAAGGAGUACCCCUACCAAUGCAGGUGGUGAAGAAAACUGUGUUGGUUCAGACUGGAUCAAAAAACCUUGGUCAGCCAACGCCUGGCACUGACGGUGGAGAUAAUGAAUCCAUUAAGAACAUAAUGUCUGCUGGUUAUCACAUUUGCUCAGCUCCAGGGCAGUUGAAUGUAGAGCAAAACAAUACCCUGGACUUCAGAUCUCUCAGCUUGGCCAAGACGUGCACUUGCAAACCAUUCUGUUGGACCUGAUUUGUCAACAUCCAUAAGCAAGGUCUUCAGCAAACGUCUUCGAUUCCGAGAUUCGAGUGAAAUGUUGUCAAUGUGGAACCACAACAAUCCCAACACCACCACUACAAACAGUUUCUCAUAUCACUACUCCUACAGCCACUACUACAAACCUCAACCUCGACAGCUCCACUACAACAAAACAACAACUCAGACUCCCGCUCUAGUACGGACCCCCAACCACUAUCCUACAUCAACCCUCAACAGGUAACCACCGAACCAAUGCAGUGGUGAAGAAAAAAUGUGUGUGGCAGCGGAUCAACCCUUGCGUCAGCCAACAACUGCUCUGAAGGUGGAGAUAAUGAAUCCCAUU